rnacentral:misc_RNA from 1 species
GAUGAAGAACGCAGUGAAAUGCGAUAAGUAAUGUGAAUUGCAGAAUUCAGUGAAUCAUCGAAUCUUUGAACGCACAUUGCGCCCCCUGGUAUUCCCGGGGGCAUGCCUGUCCGAGCGUCAUUACAACCCUCAAGCUCAGCUUGGUGUUGGGCCCCGCCGCCCCGGCGGGCCCUAAAGUCAGUGGCGGUGCCGUCCGGCUCCGAGCGUAGUAAUUCUUCUCGCUCUGGAGGCCCGGUCGUGUGCUCGCCAGCAACCCCCAAUUUUUUUCAGGUUGACCUCGGAUCAGGUAGGGAUACCCGCUGAACUUAAGCAUAUCAAUAAGCGGAGGA